GCCCUUAAGUAAGGAUUUCAUCAUCUUUUAUGGAGUUUACAUAAACUGGUAGUACAGUUCUGAUGAAGGAUGUAGGUGUGAAUAACUACAUACAGCUAAUUACUUAAGGUCCGUUCCAGCCCUAAUUAUUUAUGAUUCUAUGAAUUAUCCCUGGUACACUGCUCUCAACUAAAUGCCAUUCUUUCGCUUCUUACAGGUGAUGAGAUUGCAGAUGAUCUAAAAGUGAAUAUAGCUCCUGUAUAGUUGGCAAGCCUUCUACUCAAGUGCCUCACUGGUGAUGACAGAUGCUUGUGCAGCACCAGGGCUCUUCGUUGAGUCCCUCAAAGCCAAGAAGAAGCUGCAGUGCAACACAUGCAAGGGUUUUUCAUGCUCCCUCCUGCCUACAGCCUCAUUCCAGCAGUGUUGUGUUAGCACAUGAUCCAACUUGGCAGUUUGACUGCAGAAAGGAAAGACCUGUCCUGAUGUGGAAGACUCGGCCUUCUGCUGCCUAUCUGCAGCAUAGUAACAUCUGUUCUGUAAGAAUAAAAACUAAAGGUAAAUUGUAAAAACCUUAAACUACAUGCAGUGAAAAAUAUUCACCUUCUUUCCAACCAUUGCAUAAGCUCCUGUCAUGGCUUCUGCCAGGUGCUAGGAAAACUGCUUUUAGUCAUUCAUUGAGAAAAUAUACUUCGGUAACUAAUGAAGUUAGUUAGGAGAUGCCUCAUCUUAUCCUAAAAUGAACUCCCAUGGAAUUUCACUAGCUUGGUGCCACACUGAAAGUGUCCAGCCUCCUCAGAGCCCCAGUAUUUGUUGAAGGAGUUAGAAGACAAGGUGUGAGAGGUUCCAGCUAAACAAGGGAAACCUGCUUUGACCUGUAGCUGAAGCUCAGAUGAAGAUAGUUCUGCUUGCUGGAGGGCUCAAGAUCUUAAUCAACCCUCACCCCUUUAAUUAGCAUGAAACAGCUCAGUAGUUGCAGCUUACAGCAUUGGGCCACAGAAAGCUACAGGAAUAGUCAGCCUGCUCCUGAUCAGGAAUUGGGUAAACAUUACCCUGGGGCUUCAUGUGGUCACAGGUUUGGCAUUGCCUGAACUGGCUUUGCAAUGUAAACAGAGGAUUGUAAUUUAUGUAGAAAUAUUGUGCAGUAAAAUGCAGUACAGUGGCGCACAAGAUGAAAUACAGUCCCCACACCUGAACUUGUUCAAGGGUUAAAAAAUAAGAAAACAACAAAAAC